UUGUAAAUGUUUUAAAAUCUUAGUCCUUAUUUGGAAUACAUUUUCAAUAACUUACUAUAACACACCCUGCAUAUAUUAUUUAGAUAGUUAUUUUAAUUUUGACAAACUGUUAAUUUCACAUUCUUCUUUAACAGUUAAUUUUACACACUGAAAGAGUAUCGGAAUAGUAAAUGUUGACAAUGCCGCUUUUAAAAAAUUACAUAGAUACAAUAUGUAACAGAUAAUAUAAUAUAAAUAUUUGAACGGAUGUUUUUACGUUAGGUUCGUCCGACCCUCCUCCUGGAUUAUCCUCGCUUUCUAUUGGCUAGUCAGCGCUCUACACCUACGUGUGACUGGCCCCCGCGUGGCAGGUGAGAAUUCUACCACUGAACCACCAAUGCUUAUCUUAAAAAUCCAUGGACUUCGCAGAGUGCGAUUUAAAGCUGAGUACUGUGCUGCUUCAGCAAUUUGGUUUAAAAUUCUAAAGGAGAAUCUCUUCCAUAUUUCAGCAGCAUGGAGUUUGUCCAUUACCCUAGUUUUGGGCAGAAUUGAUAAGGCUUGUUAAGUGCUUUGGGUGAAGGCUCAAGCAACACAAACGUCUCCAAAACUCAGUUGUGCAUUGGCCUGGAAUCUAACCCGGACACACACAGAGGGCGCUUUCCAGGUAAGUAUUGUGCUGACUCAGCAAUUUGGUUUCAAAAUUGACAAGGAGCAUCCUAAGGCUCUUGUAUAUUUGAGUAACAUGGACUGUGUCUGCUACCCUUUUUUUGGACAGAAGUGAUAAGGCUUGCAGAGUUCUUUGGGUGAAGGCUCAAUAUUCAAAAGUCAGUCGUGAGUGGCCAGGAAUUGAACCCCGGCCUCACGCAUGGUAGGUCAGAAUUUGACCACUGAACCACCAAUGCUUAUCUUAAAGGAUUAAGGACAAUGCAGAGUGUGCUUUUCAUUAAGUAUUGUUCUGAUUAAACAGUUUGGUUUCAAAAUAGAAAAGGAGCAUCCUAAGUCUCUUGUAUAUUUCAGCAGCAUGGAGUUGGUCUAGUUUGGGCAGAAAUGAUAAGGCUUGUAAUGUUCUUUUGGUGAAGGCUUAACUUUCAAAACUCACUUCUGCAUUGGCCGGGAAUUGAACCCGGGCCUCCCGCGUGGCAGGCAAGAAUUCUACCACUGAACCACCAAUGCUUAGUUUAAAUCACUAAAGACUUCGCAGAGUAAGCUGUUCAGGUAAGUAUUGUGCUGCUUCAGCAAUUUGGUUUCAGAUUUGAAAAGGAGAAUCCUAAGUCUCUUCCUUAUUUCAGCAGCAGUCACACACUAUAUUUCCAGAUACUGUAUAAUAUUAUAAUAUCUCCUCUCUGCUCAACACGCAUGUAAUACAGUCUACAUACCGUAGAGCAGUGUUUUUCAACCACUGUGCCGUGGCACACUAGUGUGUCGUGAGAGAUCGUCAGGCGUGCCUUGAGAAAUUGUCCAAUUUCACUUAGUCUUAAAAUUCUUUUUUAUUAAAAUUUAUUCAUUAUUAUCUGCAAAUAAUAAGCCAUUGUUGCGUGUCUGUGCUGUAAUAUAGUGACUGGCAGAGCAAUGUAAUAUUCGUCCGGGUGGCAGCAGGUAAUUGCCUCCUACCUUCUUAGAGACAAGAGAAUUAGUGACGCAUGCGACAGGUCGUGGUGGCAGUGAUGGAGAAGUUUUUAAAAAGGAAAAAUGCAAACUCCGAACUGGGCCCUGGACAAGAUUGUGACCCAGGUGAAGGGCCUAGUAUGAGUGGUGGUAAAAAGAAAGCAAAGACGGUGAGCUCGAGGCAAUACAGCGAAAGCUAUCUUUCGUUAGGAUUUACUUUCACCAGCAAUGAGAUGACCCCGACUCCAUUAUGCUUGGUGUGUGGCGAGAAGCAGUCCAAUAGCGCCAUGGUGCCAAGCAAGCUUAAACGCUAUCUCCAAGCGAAACACCCGUCGCUUCAAAACAAGCCGAUGGACUAUUUUGUUUGCCUGCGUGAAAACACCGAAACAGGCAACAUUAAUGAGAAAAACCACAAAGGUAAAUUAGAAAGCCCUCAAAGCUAGUUGCUGAACUUGUAGCUAAAUGAAAAAAGCCCCACACUGUGGCAGAGACGUUAAUACUACCUGCCCGCAAAGACACUGUCAACGAGAUGCUCGGCCCUGACGCGGUUAAAGACAUAUCUAAACUCCCGCUCUCAGAUAACACAAUCGCCAGAUGUAUUGAUGACAUGUCUACAGACAUCGAAAGCCAUGUUUUGGAAAAGAUACGCAUCAGUAGGAAAUUUGCGUUGCAACUUGAUGAGUCUACGGAUAUUCUCAGCUCUUGGCCAAUGUGCGUUUUGUGGAUGGAGAUGCCAUUAGAGAAAACUUCCUAUUUUGCAAGGCACUGCCAGAAAAAACAGCAAGAGAGGAAAUUUUUUGGGUCAAAUCGGAAUAUCUUGACCAGGGAGGACUUACGUGGGAAAAUUGCACAAGUGUUUGCACUGAUGGAGCUGCAGCCAUGGUCGGGCACACCUAAGGCUUCGUUAGCAGAGUGAAGGAAAGAAACCCAGAUCUUAUUGUUACACACUGUUUUCUGCACCGUGAGGCCUUCGUUGCAAAGACUUUACCAGCAGAACUAGUUCCUGUGUUGGAUGAUGUUGUGCGCAUAGGGAACUUUGUAAAGACACGACCUUUGAAAAGGCAUAUUUGCAUCUUUGUGUGAGGAAAUGUGAGUGGAGCAUAAAGCCUUAUUGCUCCAUACGGAGGUCCGAUGGUUGUAGCGUGACAAGUUGCUGGCCCGUGUGUAUGAGCUGCGGGAGGAACUUAAAGUGUUUCUGACAAAUGAGAGGUCUGAUUACUCAAAUCUGUUUGAAAGUGAUGAGUGGUGUGCAAAGCUGGCAUACCUGGCAGAUAUAUUUCAUCAUCUGAAUGAACCAAACACACGGAUGCAAGGCCGAAAUGAGAACCUGCUUACAAGCAUGGAUAAAAUAAAUGGAUUCCAUUUAAAGGUGCACCUCUGGCAACAACAUGUGCAAAGUGCCAACCUUGAGAUGUUCCCACUCACAGAGGAACGGCAAGAUCACCCUGCUGCACUGUGCGAGGUAAUAGUUAAACAUCUGAAAACUCUUGAGGAGAAGUUGUCAUUUUAUUUCUCUUCAGCCUCCACUGAAUGCCUUGACUGCUGUUGGAAAGGACAUGACUUUACAGGAGCAGGAGGAACUAACUGAACUGAAACAAGAUCGUGGUUUAAAGCUAAGAUUUGCUGAACUUCCUUUGGACAGUUUUUGGUUGACUGCUGCCAAGGAAUUCCCCAUUCCGGCCAACAAAGUUUUGACAUUGCUCCCAUUUUCCACAACAUGUGUGUGAGCUGAGCUUUUCAAGCCUAACUGCUAUAAAAACUAAAAACAGAGAGAGACUGAAAGCUGUUGAAGAAGAGCUUCGUGUAUGCCUUUCUUCAAUUCCUGCCAGGAUAUCGGCUUUGUGUUCAUCUAAACAGGCCCAGGUUUCACACUGAGAAGCUGCCUUAAUCACGAUGAACCCAGGCUACGCAGGCAGGACCGAGCUCCGGGACAACCUGGAGGCCGCUUCAGAUCCGUCUCCAUGAUUGUGCCCGACCACGCCGUCAUCGCAGAGGUGGACUUGUGAGCUGAGGGCUUCAAGUCCAGUGAGACUCUGGCGAAGAAGAUGAUUCAGCUGUAUAAGCUGUGCAGCAAGCAGCUUUCCCGGCAGGACCACUACGACUUCACCAUGAGAGUCGUCAACUCUGUUAUCGUCAUGGCCGGGUCUCUGAUGCGAGAGAACCCACACCUGAGUGAGAACGUAGUGUUGAUUAGAGCGCUACGAUACUCCAACCUGCCCAAGUUACUCAAGGAUGACGCAGAACUUAAAAUAAAAUAAAUUGAUAAAUAGUAAAGAACGCCAAAGCUUACAUAUGGAGUAUCAAAGGUCAUUAUCACAGGAUCACUGGAAUCAGGCACUAGGAGGAAAUUCCAGGACAAAUUAGGAAAUACAAUUAACUGACAUUUGCAAAUUCUUUGCAACUAAAAAGCUGUAAUUAUAUACUAUAUAACUUUUUUUUAAAGCAUUUAAAGUAUAUAACAUUAGCACCUUGUAAUGUUAUACCAGAUGAAAAGUAAAGAAUCCUGGAACAUCUGAACAUCCAUAAUCUGAAAAUCUUGAACCUAGUGUCAAUCGAGUCAAUCCAAUCCUUCUUGUGUGCGUUUAGCGGUAUUCUGUCGGACCUCUUUCCUGGCGUGGGCGUCCCCGAGCAUGACUACGGCGCGCUUCAGUCGAACAUCGAGGCAGCUCUAUGCGCCCGCUCCCUGCAGCCCGUCUCCAGCAUGACCGCCAAGGUGAUCCAGCUGUACGAGACCAUGCUAGUGCACCAGGGCGUCUUGCUGGUGGGCCCUACAAGAGGCGGUAAAACCACAGCGUACCGUGCCCUCGCUGACGCACUGCGCACCCUCCACGAGACAGAGGGCUGCGAGGUGAAUCUCUUAUACAAGCCCAUCGAGACCGACGUGCUCAACCCGCAGUCAGUGAGCAUGGACGAGCUGUAUGGUGAAGACGACCCUCUCACAUGGGAGUGGAGUACCAUCAAACCGUCUCUCGGCAGUGACAUCGCCGACACGCACAAGUGGGUGGUGAGUGACGUACCUGUGGACGUGCCUGUGGAUUGAGAAAAUUACCUCCGUGUUGGACAACAACAAGACGCUCUGUCUGGCUAACGGUGAAAGGAUCAAGCUCACACCUUCUACACACAUGUUAUUCGAGGUGUUACCCAUCAGACACAGGUAGCAUCGGUCCUAAAAACCAUCACAAACAAGCACAAGCAUGUCAUUUCCAAGAAGAUUUUUUUUUUACAUUAAACGCGUUCCUGAUGGAAAGGUCACACACAAACGUAUCUUUAAGACUUCACUCUUUCACACGCCUAUAACGAGCGAUAAACGCAUUCGAAGCAUGUUAUAAAGCCUCCGUAAUGCAUUACGCAUAGUAUUUAAAUAAAUAUUAUUAUAAUAACAUGCACUACACUACAUUAUGCAUUAUGAAUUCUUAACGUAUUGUUAACACGUCUUUACUGUGAGCGGGAUGAUGACCAGACGGAGGCAGGCUCCCAGGUACUCAUAUCCGUAGACGUACUGAUACAGAGCCAUUCUGGCCACGCAGUUAUCCAGAUCCACGUCCCAGUAUUAGCACAGCUGCCUCUGCCACUCAAAGUUACUGCUCGAGUCCACCUACGUGAACACAUACACAAAGACAUGUGAUAUAUAUACGAUCUCAUUGUAUACGAAUUGGGCAUUCUCGCUGACGAUAUAGCAUGGAUAGUUUAUAAUGAGUGCGUUCAUACUGUAUAAACCUGGGAACUGAUUUGCAUAUGCACUGCUGUCAGAGCUGCCGUUAUUUUUAAAAGAUUUAUUAACAGCUUCUGACCAAUCAGAUCUGACCACACCCAUGAUUCCCUUCGCUCUGAAGAGAAGGUGUGUAGCUGUCUGUACCCUUUCAUUGACGAGCUCCGUGACAAUGUCUCUGGCGUGGACAUCCACAGUAAUGAGAGCUGUGAUGAUGCUCUGAUGUAUUUUGGGUAAGUUACCCAAGAGUGGCCAACACAUUCAGCCUCUGUAUAAACACACACACACGCACAGAGUAAUAUUACAUAUUACAUCAUACACCAUUAUGUCAUGUAAUCAGAGAAGGAAAUCUGAACUACAGUUCCCAGCAGCCACUGCAUCACAGUCACAUGACCACCUGCACCUGGAUCACAUUCCUGGUAAGCACUUGUGUAUUUAGCCAGUUUUCACUGCACUCUUUGUCUCACGUUUGUCUUUCUUUACCUUUGUCCCUGGUGCUGUGUUUUUUUCUUUGGUUUAUGUUUAGUCUUUGCCACAGUGAUUUGCCCCAAUGUCAGUGUCUUUUGUAUUUUGUUUAGUUCUUUAUUAAACUUGAAAAAUCUGCACUUGCA